rnacentral:rRNA from 1 species
AUGAACGCUAGCGACAGGCUUAACACAUGCAAGUCGAGGGGCAGCGGGGUGUAGCAAUACACCGCCGGCGACCGGCGCACGGGUGAGUAACGCGUAUGCAACUUGCCUAUCAGAGGGGGAUAACCCGGCGAAAGUCGGACUAAUACCGCAUGAAGCAGGGGCCCCGCAUGGGGAUAUUUGCUAAAGAUUCAUCGCUGAUAGAUAGGCAUGCGUUCCAUUAGGCAGUUGGCGGGGUAACGGCCCACCAAACCGACGAUGGAUAGGGGUUCUGAGAGGAAGGUCCCCCACAUUGGUACUGAGACACGGACCAAACUCCUACGGGAGGCAGCAGUGAGGAAUAUUGGUCAAUGGGCGUAAGCCUGAACCAGCCAAGUCGCGUGAGGGAUGAAGGUUCUAUGGAUCGUAAACCUCUUUUAUAAGGGAAUAAAGUGCGGGACGUGUCCCGUUUUGUAUGUACCUUAUGAAUAAGGAUCGGCUAACUCCGUGCCAGCAGCCGCGGUAAUACGGAGGAUCCGAGCGUUAUCCGGAUUUAUUGGGUUUAAAGGGUGCGUAGGCGGCCUUUUAAGUCAGCGGUGAAAGUCUGUGGCUCAACCAUAGAAUUGCCGUUGAAACUGGGGGGCUUGAGUAUGUUUGAGGCAGGCGGAAUGCGUGGUGUAGCGGUGAAAUGCUUAGAUAUCACGCAGAACCCCGAUUGCGAAGGCAGCCUGCCAAGCCAUGACUGACGCUGAUGCACGAAAGCGUGGGGAUCAAACAGGAUUAGAUACCCUGGUAGUCCACGCAGUAAACGAUGAUCACUAGCUGUUUGCGAUACAGUGUAAGCGGCACAGCGAAAGCGUUAAGUGAUCCACCUGGGGAGUACGCCGGCAACGGUGAAACUCAAAGGAAUUGACGGGGGCCCGCACAAGCGGAGGAACAUGUGGUUUAAUUCGAUGAUACGCGAGGAACCUUACCCGGGUUUGAACGCAUUCGGACCGAGGUGGAAACACCUUUUCUAGCAAUAGCCGUUUGCGAGGUGCUGCAUGGUUGUCGUCAGCUCGUGCCGUGAGGUGUCGGCUUAAGUGCCAUAACGAGCGCAACCCUUGCCACUAGUUACUAACAGGUAAAGCUGAGGACUCUGGUGGGACUGCCAGCGUAAGCUGCGAGGAAGGCGGGGAUGACGUCAAAUCAGCACGGCCCUUACAUCCGGGGCGACACACGUGUUACAAUGGCGUGGACAAAGGGAAGCCACCUGGCGACAGGGAGCGAAUCCCCAAACCACGUCUCAGUUCGGAUCGGAGUCUGCAACCCGACUCCGUGAAGCUGGAUUCGCUAGUAAUCGCGCAUCAGCCAUGGCGCGGUGAAUACGUUCCCGGGCCUUGUACACACCGCCCGUCAAGCCAUGGGAGCCGGGGGUACCUGAAGUCCGUAACCGCGAGGAUCGGCCUAGGGUAAAACUGGUGACUGGGGCU